GGGAUUGCCUCAGUAACGGCGAGUGAAGCGGCAACAGCUCAAAUUUGAAAUCUGGCCCCUUCGGGGUCCGAAUUGUAAUUUGUAGAGAGUGCUUCGGGCGAGGCCUCGGUCUAAGUCCAUUGGAACAUGGUGUCAUAGAGGGUGAGAAUCCCGUAUGCGACCGUGGCUCGAGCCCAUGUGAAGCCUCUUCGACGAGUCGAGUUGUUUGGGAAUGCAGCUCAAAAUGGGUGGUAAAUUUCAUCUAAAGCUAAAUACUGGCUGGAGACCGAUAGCGCACAAGUAGAGUGAUCGAAAGAUGAAAAGCACUUUGGAAAGAGAGUCAAACAGUACGUGAAAUUGUUGAAAGGGAAGCGCUUGCAACCAGACCUGCCCGUGGGCGAUCAGCCGCUGUUCUCAGCGGUGUAUUCGCUCUGCGAUCAGGCCAGCAUCGGUUUCGGCGGUCGGAUAAAGGCCUUGGGAAUGUAGCUUCUCUUCGGGGGAGUCUUAUAGCCCUCGGUGCAAUGCGGCCAGCCGGGACCGAGGACCGCGCUUCGGCUAGGAUGCUGGCGUAAUGGUUGUAAGCGACCCGUCUUGAAACACGGACCAAGGAGUCUAACAUCUAUGCGAGUGUUUGGGUGUCAAACCCAUGCGCGGAAUGAAAGUGAACGGAGGUGAGAACCCUUNAAGGGCGCAUCAUCGACCGAUCCAGAUGUCUUCGGAUGGAUUUGAGUAUGAGCAUAGCUGUUGGGACCCGAAAGAUGGUGAACUAUGCCUGAAUAGGGUGAAGCCAGAGGAAACUCUGGUGGAGGCUCGCAGCGGUUCUGACGUGCAAAUCGAUCGUCAAAUUUGGGUAUAGGGGCGAAAGACUAAUCG
rnacentral:rRNA from 1 species